CAGUAGCCACGGUAAUACGGAGGGUGCAAGCGUUAUCCGGAUUUAUUGGGUUUAAAGGGUCCGUAGGCGGACUUAUAAGUCAGUGGUGAAAGCCUGUCGCUUAACGAUAGAACUGCCAUUGAUACUGUAAGUCUUGAGUAUAUUUGAGGUAGCUGGAAUAAGUAGUGUAGCGGUGAAAUGCAUAGAUAUUACUUAGAACACCAAUUGCGAAGGCAGGUUACCAAGAUAUAACUGACGCUGAGGGACGAAAGCGUGGGUAGCGAACAGGAUUAGAUACCCCGGUAGUCCCUGUCUCUUAUAC
rnacentral:rRNA from 1 species